rnacentral:rRNA from 1 species
CACGUAGGGGACGAGCGUUGUCCGGAUUCAUUGGGCGUAAAGCGCGCGUAGGCGGCUCGGAAAGUCGGUCGUGAAAUGCCGGGGCUCAACCCCGGGACUGCGUCCGAUACUCCCGAGCUGGAGGCAGGUAGGGGAGAUCGGAAUUCCUGGUGUAGCGGUGAAAUGCGCAGAUAUCAGGAGGAACACCCGUGGCGAAGGCGGCCACCUGGGCCGACCCUGACGCUGAGGCGCGAAGGCGUGGGGAGCGAACGGG